UACGGAGGGUGCGAACGUUAAUCGGAAUCACUGGGCGUAAAGCGCGCGUAGGCGGUUUGUUAAGUGGGAUGUGAAAUCCCCGGGCUUAACCUGGGAAUUGCAUUUCAAACUGGCCGACUAGAGUACGGUAGAGGGAGGUAGAAUUUCCUGUGUAGCGGUGAAAUGCGCAGAUAUCAGGAAGAACACCAAUGGCGAAGGCAGCUCUCUGGGACGGUACUGACGCUGAGACGCGAAAGCGUGGGGAGCGAACAGG
rnacentral:rRNA from 1 species